GAUGAACGCUGGCGGCGUGCCUAAUACAUGCAAGUCGAGCGAAUGGAUUAAGAGCUUGCUCUUAUGAAGUUAGCGGCGGACGGGUGAGUAACACGUGGGUAACCUGCCCAUAAGACUGGGAUAACUCCGGGAAACCGGGGCUAAUACCGGAUAACAUUUUGAACCGCAUGGUUCGAAAUUGAAAGGCGGCUUCGGCUGUCACUUAUGGAUGGACCCGCGUCGCAUUAGCUAGUUGGUGAGGUAACGGCUCACCAAGGCAACGAUGCGUAGCCGACCUGAGGGGUGAUCGGCCACACUGGGACUGGAACACGGCCCAGACUCCUACGGGAGGCAGCAGUAGGGAAUCUUCCGCAAUGGACGAAAGUCUGACGGAGCAACGCCGCGUGAGUGAUGAAGGCUUUCGGGCCGUAAAACUCUGUUGUUAGGGAAGAACAAGUGCUAGUUGAAUAAGCUGGCACCUUGACGGUACCUAACCAGAAAGCCACGGCUAACUACGUGCCAGCAGCCGCAGUAA
rnacentral:rRNA from 1 species